UACGGAGGGUGCAAGCGUUAUCCGGAUUCACUGGGUUUAAAGGGUGCGUAGGUGGGCAGGUAAGUCAGUGGUGAAAUCUCCGGGCUCAACUCGGAAACUGCCAUUGAUACUAUCUGUCUUGAAUACCGUGGAGGUUAGCGGAAUAUGUCAUGUAGCGGUGAAAUGCUUAGAUAUGACAUAGAACACCAAUUGCGAAGGCAGCUGGCUACACAAAUAUUGACACUGAGGCACGAAAGCGUGGGGAUCAAACAGG
rnacentral:rRNA from 1 species